rnacentral:rRNA from 1 species
AGCAGCCGCGGUAAUUCCAGCUCCAAUAGCGUAUAUUAAAGUUGUUGCAGUUAAAAAGCUCGUAGUUGAAUUUCGGGGUCAGUAGGUCGGUCGUGCCACUGGUAUGAACUGGUUUUACUGAUUCCUCCCUCUUGAAGAACUGUAAUGCCAUUAAUUUGGUGUUGCAGGGAAUCAGGACUGUUACUUUGAAAAAUUAGAGUGUUUAAAGCAGGCUUUAGCUUGAAUACAUUAGCAUGGAAUAAUGAAAUAGGACGUUUGAUCCUAUUUUGUUGGUUUCUAGGAUUGACGUAAUGAUUAAUAGGGAUAGUUGGGGGCAUUAGUAUUCAAUUGUCAGAGGUG